AUACUUACCUGGCAGGGGAGAUUCCAUGAUCACAAAAGUGGUUUCCCCAGGGUGAGGCUUAUUCAUUGCACUCUGGAUGGGUUGACCCCUGUGAUUUCCCCAAAUGCGGGAAACUCAACUGCUUAAGUGGGAAACUGUGUUUGUGCUUUCCCCUA
ensembl:snRNA U1 U1 spliceosomal RNA